CUCAAACUGGGUGUGGUGUUAAUAACUAGAGGGCUAUGAUCGGAACCUAUUGCAGGCAUAGCAAACACUUGAGCUUUCGGGUAUGCGACACGCCAUUCAGCAGUGCAAACUGCUCGAUCCAAUCUCUCCUUCACCAAAGCAUCACCAGCUCUAUUAUUGGACCACGUAUAAGCACAGCCAUGAGAAGGUAAAUCCAACAACCGGCAAUCAUUAAGAAGCUCACGGAAAGAAUCAAUGCGGAGCAUGAAGACAAGUAAUCCUCAUAGACCGAGCAUCGGAGAUAUCCAGACAAGUGAAGUCCAAAAAAUACUGAGAGGAGGAGAAAUCCGACAGAGAAAGCCCUGCAUUCCAAAAAAUAGCUAACCCCCCCGCCGAACCAACAGGGCUAACCAACCUGUGAUGCAAAAAACCAGAGGAUUUUUUCAAGCGAAGGAUAACAUCAUCAACAUUUUUUGUCUCCAUCAAAAAAAGCAGGGCCAGCCACCGUCGCCCGCAGAAGUUCUUCAGAAGCCUCCAUGAUGGGUGUGUCUAACAAGGAAGAGUCGUCAUACAGUCCAGUAGGUUCUUCCGGUAAGUUUCUCUGUAGCUGGAAUGAGAGCAGUGGUUACAGUGUGUUUCUCAGGUGGAGGCAUGUUAGAGGAAUAAUUUCUGGGCUGUGGAUCAAGUGGAGUAGAUUCCUGUGGAGAAGAUGUUAUAACAGGAACAGGCGGUAGAAGAAGUGGA